UACGAAGGGGGCUAGCGUUGUUCGGAAUCACUGGGCGUAAAGCGCACGCAGGCGGAUUGAUAAGUCAGGGGUGAAAUCCCGGAGCUCAACUUCGGAAUUGCCUUUGAUACUGUCAAUCUCGAGUCCGGGAGAGGUGAGUGGAAUUCCUAGUGUAGAGGUGAAAUUCGUAGAUAUUAGGAAGAACACCAGUGGCGAAGGCGGCUCACUGGCCCGGUACUGACGCUCAGUGUGCGAAAGCGUGGGGAGCAACAGGAUUAAGAAACCCCGGUG
rnacentral:rRNA from 1 species